rnacentral:rRNA from 1 species
CAACAGCUCAAAUUUGAAAUCUGGCCUCCUCGAGGUCCGAGUUGUAAUUUGUAGAGGGUGCUUCGGGUGCGAUGCCGGUCUAAGUUCCUUGGAACAGGACGUCGUAGAGGGUGAGAAUCCCGUAUGCGACCGGCGAUCAAGCCCGUGCGAAGCCCCUUCGACGAGUCGAGUUGUUUGGGAAUGCAGCUCAAAAUGGGUGGUAAAUUUCAUCUAAAGCUAAAUAUUGGCCAGAGACCGAUAGCGGACAAGUAGAGUGAUCGAAAGAUGAAAAGCACUUUGGAAAGAGAGUCAAACAGUACGUGAAAUUGUUGAAAGGGAAGCGCUUGCAAUCAGACCGGUCCGGAGGCGAUCAGCCGCUGCUCGUCAGCGGUGCACUCGCCUGCGAUCCGGCCAGCAUCGGUUUGGGCGGCGGGAUAAAAGUCCCGGGAAUGUAGCUUCUCCCGGGGAGUCUUAUAGCCCGGGUCGCAAUGCCGCCCGCCCGGACCGAGGACCGCGCUUCGGCUAGGAUGCUGGCGUAAUGGUUGCAAGCG